AGCGCAUACGGUGGAUGCUUGGCAGUCAGAGGCGAUGAAAGACGUGGUAGCCUGCGAUAAGCUUCGGGGAGUCGGCAAACAGACUUUGAUCCGGAGAUCUCUGAAUGGGGAAACCCACUUGGCAUAAGCCAGGUAUCUUGCACUGAAUACAUAGGUGUAAGAGGCGAACCAGGGGAACUGAAACAUCUAAGUACCCUGAGGAAAAGAAAUCAACCGAGAUUCCCUUAGUAGUGGCGAGCGAACGGGGACUAGCCCUUAAGCUUCUUUGAAUCUAACAGAACGCUCUGGAAAGUGCGGCCAUAGUGGGUGAUAGCCCCGUAUGUGAAAGGUUCUUUGAAGUGAAAUCGAGUAGGACGGAGCACGAGAAACUUUGUCUGAAUAUGGGGGGACCAUCCUCCAAGGCUAAAUACUACUGACUGACCGAUAGUGAACCAGUACCGUGAGGGAAAGGCGAAAAGAACCCCGGAGAGGGGAGUGAAAUAGAACCUGAAACCGUAUGCGUACAAGCAGUGGGAGCCUACUUUGUUAGGUGACUGCGUACCUUUUGUAUAAUGGGUCAGCGACUUAUAUUCAGUGGCGAGCUUAACCGAAUAGGGAAGGCGUAGCGAAAGCGAGUCUUAAUAGGGCGUUUUAGUCGCUGGGUAUAGACCCGAAACCGGGCGAUCUAUCCAUGAGCAGGUUGAAGGUUAGGUAACACUGACUGGAGGACCGAACCCACUCCCGUUGAAAAGGUAGGGGAUGACUUGUGGAUCGGAGUGAAAGGCUAAUCAAGCUCGGAGAUAGCUGGUUCUCCUCGAAAGCUAUUUAGGUAGCGCCUCACGUAUCACUCCAGGGGGUAGAGCACUGUUUCGGCUAGGGGGUCAUCCCGACUUACCAAACCGAUGCAAACUCCGAAUACCUGGAAGUGUCAGCGUGGGAGACACACGGCGGGUGCUAACGUCCGUCGUGAAAAGGGAAACAACCCAGACCGUCAGCUAAGGUCCCAAAGUUAUGGUUAAGUGGUAAACGAUGUGGGAAGGCUUAGACAGCUAGGAGGUUGGCUUAGAAGCAGCCACCCUUUAAAGAAAGCGUAAUAGCUCACUAGUCGAGUCGGCCUGCGCGGAAGAUGUAACGGGGCUCAAACCAUACACCGAAGCUACGGGUGCAUCGCAAGAUGCGCGGUAGAGGAGCGUUCUGUAAGCCUGUGAAGGUGAGUUGAGAAGCUUGCUGGAGGUAUCAGAAGUGCGAAUGCUGACAUGAGUAACGACAAUGGGAGUGAAAAACUCCCACGCCGAAAGACCAAGGGUUCCUGCGCAACGUUAAUCGACGCAGGGUUAGUCGGUCCCUAAGGCGAGGCUGAAGAGCGUAGUCGAUGGGAAACAGGUUAAUAUUCCUGUACUUCUAGUUACUGCGAUGGAGGGACGGAGAAGGCUAGGCCAGCUUGGCGUUGGUUGUCCAAGUUUAAGGUGGUAGGCAGAGAUCUUAGGUAAAUCCGGGGUCUUAAUGCCGAGAGCUGAUGACGAGUCAUCUUUUAGAUGAUGAAGUGGUUGAUGCCAUGCUUCCAGGAAAAGCUUCUAAGCUUCAGGUAACUAGGAACCGUACCCCAAACCGACACAGGUGGUUGGGUAGAGAAUACCAAGCGCUUGAGAGAACUCGGGUGAAGGAACUAGGCAAAAUGGCACCGUAACUUCGGGAGAAGGUGCGCCGGCGAGGGUGAAGUAUUUACUACGUAAGCCCAUGCCGGUCGAAGAUACCAGGCCGCUGCGACUGUUUAUUAAAAACACAGCACUCUGCAAACACGAAAGUGGACGUAUAGGGUGUGACGCCUGCCCGGUGCCGGAAGGUUAAUUGAUGGGGUUAGCGAAAGCGAAGCUCUUGAUCGAAGCCCCGGUAAACGGCGGCCGUAACUAUAACGGUCCUAAGGUAGCGAAAUUCCUUGUCGGGUAAGUUCCGACCUGCACGAAUGGCGUAACGAUGGCGGCGCUGUCUCCACCCGAGACUCAGUGAAAUUGAAAUCGCUGUGAAGAUGCAGUGUAUCCGCGGCUAGACGGAAAGACCCCGUGAACCUUUACUGUAGCUUUGCACUGGACUUUGAGCCUGCUUGUGUAGGAUAGGUGGGAGGCUUUGAAGCGUGGACGCCAGUCUGCGUGGAGCCAUCCUUGA
rnacentral:rRNA from 1 species